rnacentral:rRNA from 1 species
UACGAAGGGGGGCUAGCGUUGCUCGGAAUCACUGGGCGUAAAGGGUGCGUAGGCGGGUCUUUUAAGUCAGGGGUGAAAUCCUGGAGCUCAACUCCAGAACUGCCUUUGAUACUGCAAGUCUUGAGUCCGGAAGAGGUGAGUGGAAUUCCUAGUGUAGAGGUGAAAUUCGUAGAUAUUAGGAAGAACACCAGUGGCGAAGGCGGCUCACUGGUCCGGUACUGACGCUGAGGUGCGAAAGCGUGGGGAGCAAACAGG